rnacentral:misc_RNA from 1 species
UGUAAUUUGCCUCUGAAACUAGCUGCUAGAUGGGACAGGUGCUAUAAGGAUCCACCAUAGUAAAGUGCAUGAAAAAUUGAAAGGAAAGCAAAUAUGACAAAUGCCAAUUUGGAAUUGCUUCUUUUAUUUGCUUUUAUCGGUUUUUGAAUUCCAAAGCAACUAAUAUAAAAAGGUAGAUUUCUUGUCAAGUUAUUGAAAGCAAUAAAUCUCAAAUCUUAGUUAUGUGCUACAAAAGUUCAAGACUUUAUGGUCUUGUUCGUAGCUUUUCUCAGCAACCAAACAGAGCCAGAAGAGUGACGCAAGAGUAUAGCGUGAAAGGGAAUGAAAAUUAUUUACCUCGUGAGACUGACUAGGGCCUAA